UUUUCUUCUUCUUUUCUUGCUCACAGUCGCUCAUCUGUCUCUCAGUCGCGCUCUUUUCUCUCUCUCUCUCUCUCUCUCUCUCAACGGCGUAGGGUAGCAAAGGCGGCGGCAUGUAGCGGCAUCCAACAGGGGCAACAUCUCUCUCAGUCACUCAUCUCUCUCUCUCGCUCAGUGGCACCUCUCUCUUUCUCUCAAACGCAUUCACUCAAUCUUAAUCGCCUCUCUCUCACUCACUCAGCGGUGUAGAGCAGCGAGGUGGCAUAGAGCGACUACGAGUAACGGCAACAAGUAGCAACAGUGGCAGUAGCGUCCCACUCCAUCGUCAUCUCCUCUAAGUCCAACUGCCCGGCCGGAGGCAGCUUCACAGAGCGAAGAAGUUUUUCUUGCCAGACCAUUAUGAUGUACAGAGUGCUCACAUGAUAGAAGUUAGAGUACAAAGCUGCCACAAGAGGGUUCACUCCAGACCGUGUGGCUUUGUGAGUUACAUUUCUAUUCGAUUUUGGAUAUGUGUUAGUUUGUGUGAUUGGUUUUGACUAAUCCACUGUUAUUCUAUGAUUUCAUUUUUAAAUUCAUUUGAAGGUACUGCAAGUGUGAGAUGCCAUGAGAGGGUUGCAAGGACUGGUGUGUUUCUUUUUUCUAUAUAGUUUAACUGUAUUUGUGCCUAUCUUUUAGUUUAACUAGACGAUGAUUUGAAAAAUUACUUCGGUGUCAUGUUAGAGAGUUUAGAAUGAAUUUGAUCAUGUAAAAAACAUCAAAUUUUUUCCAUUUUGAGUGUUAAAGGAUUUGUAUGUGGAAUUACAGAUAUAGACACAGUUGCUCUUACUCACACUCUUAGUCCUUGGAGUCCUUGGAGUCGAGGCUUACAGAUCAUGGCAAGGAUCAAACCUUACGUUCUACUACAACAAAGGAAGAAGAAGAAGAUUCCUAGUCACAUUAGUGUCACUAUAGUUAUUUUAUGCAGCUUAAUUAUUGUUGUGAUGGUGUUUUUCUUGUUUUCUACUUACAUACAUUGGACUCACAGGUUUGUUGGAAUCUUAUUUGUUGGAUUUAAAACUUGUUAUUUUGACAAAUUGGGAUCUAGAGGGACUGGCAUAACAAUUAAAAAUCAAAAUAUGCUAAAAGGGACUGGCAUAACAAUUAAAAAUCAGAAUAUGCUGGGAAUAAUUAAUUGAAAAUUCAAUAAGUUUUUCUGGAGUGGAAAACCCAAUGCAGUGUUUCAAGUUCUAGAAAACCCAUUUAACAUUUCAUUUUUGGUUAUGGGCUUAAUAGAAGUUGUUGAAACUUCAUGCGCCAAUACUAUACGCUGAUUGCUUCCUUGGAAUUGUCGAGCUAGAUUUCUAGAUUUAGCAUAGUUAAAUGGAGGAUUAAGGAAUUAUUAGAUUAUUAUAUUUAACAUAAUUAAAUGGAGGUUUUGUAAAUUAUUAAAAAUACUGCAAAUUGGCUUCUUCUUGCCUAAUUGAAUAAUAUCCACCUCUUUCCUGAAUAAUCAAUGGGGUUUUACCUUACUAAUGAACAUGCUCAUGUGACAUAUCAUUCUACACUUUUUUGUUCUCCAACUAAAAAAAAAUGUAUCGGGUUAUCUUAUUGUCAUUUCUUUUUUCUUUUUUUUAUGUUUUAUUUUUUUCCCCUUCUUCUUCUUAUUCUUCUUCUUCUUCUAAUUCAAAUGUAAUUUGAGUUUUUAUCUUUCUUUUCCAAAGUAUUUGAAAAGUAACUGCAGUAUGUCAAGCGCUUUAGCCGCUAAAAGAAUCCAGAUUCUGUUAGACAAGCUCGAGAGUAUCCUUUAAUUAUAUGAAAAUAUUGCAACUUUAUUUUUGUUUUCUGAACUAUAACAGACAAGUAGAUGAGCACCUCCAUUUUUUUCUUGGCCUUUUCUUUAUGGUAUGUUAGUUUGCUCAAAGAUUGGAUUGGACUGCUACAAUUUAUAUUGUUGGUAUAAAGAGACAAAAGCUUAACCAUUCUCCUCCAAUCCUGAAUCUUGUAAUCUUGGUUGAUAAAGCUCUUACGGUCUCAAUACUUACUUACUUUCACCUGUGUGCUCUCAUUCCUUACCAAAUCUUCCUUGGAUGAUGAUCUGUUUCCAUUUGCUUCUUUAGUUACUAGUUCCUUUGUUUUCUUUAUGUUAUAGAUGUUUUUUUCUUUAUCUUCUCUUUCACUUCUUUGCCUAAUGAUUUUUUUUGUUGCUUAUUCCUUUGUUUUCAUUCUGGCUUCCCCUUUUUUCUAUCUUAAGAGCUACAAUCAGAUUGUCAAUCAAGUUUCAACAUCUAUUGAAACAGUCUUGGGCAUUAAAUUUUCUGCAACAUCUGCAGGAGUCAUAUGGAUAUCCUCCGACAACAGCACAUUAAUUCUGGCAAACAAAUUAUGUGAUUCGAGAUUAAGAUAGUUUUUCUUCUACCUCUUGCUUAUGAUUUGUUACAGCUAUAAUUUUUGUGUAAUCUUCAUGUUAAGUAUAAUUAAGUUUAGGUGAAUGUUUUUCUUUGAACACUUAUUAGUUAUGCUAUGUUUUUCUUUGAA